rnacentral:rRNA from 1 species
UGGGGAAUUUUGGACAAUGGGCGCAAGCCUGAUCCAGCCAUGCCGCGUGCGGGAAGAAGGCCUUCGGUUGUAAACCGCUUUUGUCAGGGAAGAAAUCUUCUGAGUUAAUACCUCGGGAGGAUGACGGUACCUGAAGAAUAAGCACCGGCUAACUACGUGCCAGCAGCCGCGGUAAUACGUAGGGUGCAAGCGUUAAUCGGAAUUACUGGGCGUAAAGCGUGCGCAGGCGGUUUUGUAAGACAGAGGUGAAAUCCCCGGGCUCAACCUUGGGAACUGCCUUUGUGACUGCAAGGCUUGAGUGCGGCAGAGGGGGGAUGGAAUUCCGCGUGUAGCAGUGAAAAUGCGUAGAUAUGCGGAGGAAACACCGAUGGCGAAGGCAAUCCCCCUGGGGCCUGCACUGACGCUCAUGCACGAAAAGCGUGGGGAGCAAAACAGGAUUAGAUACCCUGGU